GACAGAGGCCUCGAGCGUUAGGCGGAAUCACUGGGCUUAAAGCGUGUGUAGGCGGACCUCUAAGUACCUUGUGAAAUCCCACGGCUCACCCGUGGAACCGCUGGGUAUACUGGGGGUCUUGGGCCACUCAGGGGCGACUGGAACAAGCGGUGGAGCGGUGAAAUGCGUAGAUAUCGACUUGGAACGCCGAAGGUGAAAACAGGUCGCUGGGAGUGCGCCG
rnacentral:rRNA from 1 species